CAAUAGCGUAUAUUAAAGUUGUUGCGGUUAAAAAGCUCGUAGUUGGAUUUCUGCCGAGGACGACCGGUCCGCCCUCUGGGUGUGUAUCUGGUUUGGCCUGGGCAUCUUCUUGGAGAACGUAGCUGCACUUGACUGUGUGGUGCGGUGUCCAGGACUUUUACUUUGAGGAAAUUAGAGUGUUUCAAGCAGGCACACGCCUUGAAUACAUUAGCAUGGAAUAAUAAGAUAGGACCUCGGUUCUAUUUUGUUGGUUUCUAGAGCUGAGGUAAUGAUUAAUAGGGAUAGUUGGGGGCAUUCGUAUUUAACUGUCAGAGGUGAAAUUCCUGGAUUUGUUAAAGACGGACUACUGCGAAAGCAUUUGCCAAGGAUGUUUUCAUUGA
rnacentral:rRNA from 1 species